rfam:Ferriphaselus amnicola DNA, contig: contig00004, strain: OYT1.
GGCGGGUCUCCCCGCAUUGCGACAUGGUGAACCUGGUCAGGUCCGGAAGGAAGCAGCCACAGCCAAUCGUUGCAAGUGCCGGGGGUAAGGCUCGCCUCC